rnacentral:rRNA from 1 species
ACGAACGCUGGCGGCGUGCUUCACACCUGCAAGUCGAACGGAAAGGCCCUGCUUUUGUGGGGUGCUCGAGUGGCGAACGGGUGAGUAACACGUGAGUAACCUGCCCUUGACUUUGGGAUAACUUCAGGAAACUGGGACUAAUACCGGAUAGGAGCUCCUGCUGCAUGGUGGGGGUUGGAAAGUUUCGGCGGUUGGGGAUGGACUCGCGGCUUAUCAGCUUGUUGGUGGGGUAGUGGCUUACCAAGGCUUUGACGGGUAGCCGGCCUGAGAGGGUGACCGGCCACAUUGGGACUGAGAUACGGCCCAGACUCCUACGGGAGGCAGCAGUGGGGAAUAUUGCACAAUGGGCGGAAGCCUGAUGCAGCAACGCCGCGUGCGGGAUGACGGCCUUCGGGUUGUAAACCGCUUUCGCCUGUGACGAAGCGUGAGUGACGGUAAUGGGUAAAGAAGCACCGGCUAACUACGUG